GGAGCAUGCGCACUGGCAGGCCCUCGCUCAGCCUUUGGAGACCAUGCGCAGGCGCGGUGCACUGUGCGCGGGCACCACGGCGGUUUUUCGACGCUGGCGGUGGACGCAGGCAGCAUGGACCACGGUUGCUGGGCGGAUGGGGAGCGUCUAUGGUCAGUUGCCUUAGAAGUGGUGAGAUGGGAAGCUGCAGUUGGAAGACCCUGGAGGAUGCCUGACAAGGGGAUGUCUGACACAUGAUUGGAGCUCUUUUUGAAAUGUUUCUUGCCCUUCCUGGAGCAGAGGAGCCAUUAUUUAUGCAGGCUCCCUUCUCAAAGCAGAGCCCUGAAGACUUCAAUGAUGUCAAUGAGGCCACCUGUUUGUGAUGUGCAGGCACAGAAGAAAGGCACAGCUCCCCAUCAGUUUCAUGGAAAAUAACUCAGUGCCUGCUGGGAACCAGCUGCUGGAGAUCCCUACAGAGAGCUUCCACUGGGGGCAACCCUUCCAGGAAGGAGUUGGGGAGAGAGAACCCUCACUGUGGGGAAUGCUGAUAAACCAGUCACACAGCUGCUCUAUUCUCACACAAAUCUACCCCUUGCGUGGCUGGAACUGACGUUUCCCUGGAGGUGUCCAGAAAGCUGAUGUAACACAGAGCCUAUAAAAGCUGUCGGUCCUUAAGGCUGCCCAGCGCCUUGCCAAAAUGGAGCUUGUAAGAAGGCUCAUGCCAUUGACCCUCUUAAUUCUCUCCUGUUUGGCGGAGCUGACAAUGGCGGAGGCUGAAGGCAAUGCAAGCUGCACAGUCAGUCUAGGGGGUGCCAAUAUGGCAGAGACCCACAAAGCCAUGAUCCUGCAACUCAAUCCCAGUGAGAACUGCACCUGGACAAUAGAAAGACCAGAAAACAAAAGCAUCAGAAUUAUCUUUUCCUAUGUCCAGCUUGAUCCAGAUGGAAGCUGUGAAAGUGAAAACAUUAAAGUCUUUGACGGAACCUCCAGCAAUGGGCCUCUGCUAGGGCAAGUCUGCAGUAAAAACGACUAUGUUCCUGUAUUUGAAUCAUCAUCCAGUACAUUGACGUUUCAAAUAGUUACUGACUCAGCAAGAAUUCAAAGAACUGUCUUUGUCUUCUACUACUUCUUCUCUCCUAACAUCUCUAUUCCAAACUGUGGCGGUUACCUGGAUACCUUGGAAGGAUCCUUCACCAGCCCCAAUUACCCAAAGCCGCAUCCUGAGCUGGCUUAUUGUGUGUGGCACAUACAAGUGGAGAAAGAUUACAAGAUAAAACUAAACUUCAAAGAGAUUUUCCUAGAAAUAGACAAACAGUGCAAAUUUGAUUUUCUUGCCAUCUAUGAUGGCCCCUCCACCAACUCUGGCCUGAUUGGACAAGUCUGUGGCCGUGUGACUCCCACCUUCGAAUCGUCAUCAAACUCUCUGACUGUCGUGUUGUCUACAGAUUAUGCCAAUUCUUACCGGGGAUUUUCUGCUUCCUACACCUCAAUUUAUGCAGAAAACAUCAACACUACAUCUUUAACUUGCUCUUCUGACAGGAUGAGAGUUAUUAUAAGCAAAUCCUACCUAGAGGCUUUUAACUCUAAUGGGAAUAACUUGCAACUAAAAGACCCAACUUGCAGACCAAAAUUAUCAAAUGUUGUGGAAUUUUCUGUCCCUCUUAAUGGAUGUGGUACAAUCAGAAAGGUAGAAGAUCAGUCAAUUACUUACACCAAUAUAAUCACCUUUUCUGCAUCCUCAACUUCUGAAGUGAUCACCCGUCAGAAACAACUCCAGAUUAUUGUGAAGUGUGAAAUGGGACAUAAUUCUACAGUGGAGAUAAUAUACAUAACAGAAGAUGAUGUAAUACAAAGUCAAAAUGCACUGGGCAAAUAUAACACCAGCAUGGCUCUUUUUGAAUCCAAUUCAUUUGAAAAGACUAUACUUGAAUCACCAUAUUAUGUGGAUUUGAACCAAACUCUUUUUGUUCAAGUUAGUCUGCACACCUCAGAUCCAAAUUUGGUGGUGUUUCUUGAUACCUGUAGAGCCUCUCCCACCUCUGACUUUGCAUCUCCAACCUACGACCUAAUCAAGAGUGGAUGUAGUCGAGAUGAAACUUGUAAGGUGUAUCCCUUAUUUGGACACUAUGGGAGAUUCCAGUUUAAUGCCUUUAAAUUCUUGAGAAGUAUGAGCUCUGUGUAUCUGCAGUGUAAAGUUUUGAUAUGUGAUAGCAGUGACCACCAGUCUCGCUGCAAUCAAGGUUGUGUCUCCAGAAGCAAACGAGACAUUUCUUCAUAUAAAUGGAAAACAGAUUCCAUCAUAGGACCCAUUCGUCUGAAAAGGGAUCGAAGUGCAAGUGGCAAUUCAGGAUUUCAGCAUGAAACACAUGCGGAAGAAACUCCAAACCAGCCUUUCAACAGUGUGCAUCUGUUUUCCUUCAUGGUUCUAGCUCUGAAUGUGGUGACUGUAGCGACAAUCACAGUGAGGCAUUUUGUAAAUCAACGGGCAGACUACAAAUACCAGAAGCUGCAGAACUAUUAACUAACAGGUCCAACCCUAAGUGAGACAUGUUUCUCCAGGAUGCCAAAGGAAAUGCUACCUCGUGGCUACACAUAUUAUGAAUAAAUGAGGAAGGGCCUGAAAGUGACACACAGGCCUGCAUGU